rnacentral:rRNA from 1 species
GAGGAAUAUUGGGCAAUGCCCGCAAGGGUGACCCAGCAACGCCGCGUGGAGGAUGAAUGUCGUAAGAUUGUAAACUCCUGUUAGAGGGGAUGAAUAGUACCGGUUGGACCGGUAUAUGACUGUACCCUCAGAGAAAGCCCCGGCUAACUACGUGCCAGCAGCCGCGGUAAUACGUAGGGGGCAAGCGUUGUCCGGAUUUACUGGGUGUAAAGGGCGCGCAGGCGGGAUAAAAAGUCAAUGGUGAAAUCCUACAGCUUAACUGUAGAACUGCCUUUGAUACUUUUAUUCUUGAGUUCGGGAGAGAGAGACGGAAUUCCAGGUGUAGUGGUGAAAUACGUAGAUAUCUGGAAGAAUACCAGUUGCGAAGGCGGUCUCUUGGUCCGACACUGACGCUGAGGCGCGAAAGCGUGGGGAGCAAACA